rnacentral:RNase_P_RNA from 1 species
UCGCGUCCGAAAGGAUGAGGAAAGUCCGGACUCCGCAGGGCAGAGGAUCCGUCCGUCAAGGACGGAAGGCACGGGGCAAUCCCGUGCGAUGGAAAGUGCCACAGAGAACAGACCGCCCACAAGGGCAAGGGUGAAAGGGUGGAGCAAGAGACCACCGGUGCGUCUGAAACGCCGCACGCAGGGCAAACCCUCCUCGGAGCAAGAUCAAAUAGGGGAUUGAACGGGCGGCCCGCCCGGUUUGGCUGCCUUCGGGUGGCCGGUGAAAUCCCGGGUUGAUCGCUGAGAUGAAUGAUCGGAGCGCCGCAAGGCGUGAACAGAAUCUGGCUUAUUCGCCG